AAGCUCCUGCUUUGCUCGUGAUGGUUUUCGGAGGCUCGUCUGAGCCAACGUUACAACCAAGCGAGUCGCGAGGUCGCGUGUUGUGCAUGCCUCUGCAACGAGGAAGCCUGAAUCGCGGCUCAAAACAGCGACUCCACCUGCUUUCCGCAGGUUCACUCGACCUCCCCACACGGCAAAGCGGGGCGUCU
rnacentral:other from 1 species